AUCAGUGCUACUGUUGUUGGCAUUGAGUACACUUCAUCUCUGAAAGAUCUGCCCUGGUAGAAAACCAUCUAAUAUUCUUCCUGCUUAUAUAAUAUUCUAAGAAUGAGGCUAUCAAAUAUUUUUUUAAAGUAUUUGUUGCUGUUUGAUAUAUCACUGACAUAUUCUUUUAUGGCUGAAAAUGUGCUUGAAGACUGGUGAAGCCUUGUUCUUGCUAAGUUUUUCAUUCUUUUAAAAAUGCUUUUUUUGUUAUAUUUGGUUCUGAGGAUUAGGAUUGCAGCAAAGCCAGAAAUUAAUUGACCAAUUUGUAUUUCAUCUCCUGCUGUACAUGACAAGAACACACUGCCAUGAAUUCAAGAGAGAGUUAAAGCAGAGCAAGUCAAAUUGGAAAGAGGCCCUUGGAAUACAGUUACAUUCACCAUAUGAAAGGAGACGUUGUAACAGUUUGUUCUUUAAAGAAGCCUCAAAAGGGAAAAAAACCCUCAAAGCAGCAAACCUUUUGGCUCUUUUGAUCUCCUGGCAGCUGAAAUCAACAACUGCAGAGCCUAGGGACACUUUGGUUUCCAGCCUGGAUGAUGGACUGCGUUUGCAGGAGGUUAUUAUCUGUUUGUUGGAAACAGACAGACAAACCAGAUGCCUGAAUUGAGAAGGCUGUCUCAGUUCAGAUUAAAAUUUUCCUCAGUUUCUGAAGACUCAGCAAAACUCCAGCAUAGGUUGUUAUUUUAGUCAAGAGUAACACUUUAAGGUCAAAAUGUACCUUUUUAAAAUCAUAAAAUUGUGAACUUAGGCAUUUUAAAUUCCUGCUUGAUAAACUACCACGGUACUGUCUCUGAAGGUUACUUCAGCAUAUGUAUUAACAUCAUUUUUACAUCUGAAUGCUUUUGAAAACCAGAUUAUUUGUGCAGAAAAGUAAGGGCUUUAUCUUGGUAUCCAAGAAUAAACCCAGUGCAGUUAUCUGCUACACUAUAAAUACACAUUGUGCAAGAGAAAAAGCAUAAUUAUCUAAUGCCAUUGGAGCUGAUGGUUAGAAGACAGUUAUUUUCUUGGAUCACAUCAAGAUGGAGCCUUGGUUAGCUCUAUAUUAAGCAAAAUUAUUGCAUCAAACACUUGAGUCAAGCAGGCCUUGUUUUAGCAUAAUGUAUGUAAGAAUUUUAUCAAUACAUUGCUAAUGUAACUUUCCACUUGUAGAAUGGAAGGACCUGCAAAAGAAUAACCAGUCCAUGGUUGCUGAAUUUUCAUCUGGUACUUGUCCAGCCUUUGAAACAUGUAAAUUUGUAAGUGGAAUGUAAAUUUGUAUGUGGAAUGUAAAUUUGUAUGUGGAAUGAAAAUUUGUAUGUGGAAUGAAAAUUUGGUUGUGGGCUCCCAGCAGUAAAAGGCCUUGCAAAGCCGAGAGCAGGGGACUGAGAGUCUCUUUGCAGUCAAUCUAUUCAAUGUAAUUUCACCUUCCUGUUUCUCUGAUAGGCUCAUUCCUCUGAAAGGCAGAAAAAGGGGGACUUCAUUUCGUUUGAAUUGCCUGGAAAACAGAUUUACUGAGCUCAGCUGAGUAUUAUACAUAAAAAUAAUAAAAGAAAAUAAUUUUGGAAUCCUGAUUUCAGUCAGACCUGCAAUAAGCUGGCAAGUGGUUUUA